rnacentral:rRNA from 1 species
AACAACAAGGGUGAAAUCUGUACUUAAGUUAAAUUUCUUGUUUAAAGCAUCUUUUAGGUAGUUAAACGACUAGGAUUAGAUACCCUAUUAGUCUAUCCUUAAUUAACCUGGGUAGUAAUAUUAAAACCUAAAGAAUUUGGCGGUUUCUAAACUUACUAGAGGAACCUGUCCCGUAAACGACAAUCCACGAAAAAAUCAACCCAAACUUGUUAUUCAGCUUAUAUACCGUCGUUUAGGGGAUUAAACAAAUAGAUCUCCUUAAGAGCUUAGGCUAAUAAAUCAGAUCAAGGUGUAGCUUAUGUUUGGGUGAGGAUGGGUUACAAUGAAAAUUCAUACGGAACCUUUAUAUUACUGCAAAGGAGAAGUUGGAUUUAGAAGUAAGACCUAACACACUGAAGAAAGCCCUGAGAAAUGUACAC